rnacentral:rRNA from 1 species
CGCUGGCGGCGUGCCUAAUACAUGCAAGUUGAGCGCUGAAGUUGGUACUUGUACCGACUGGAUGAGCAGCGAACGGGUGAGUAACGCUGGGGAAUCUGCCUUUGAGCGGGGACAACAUUUGGAAACGAAUGCUAAUACCGCAUAAAAACUUUAAACACAAGUUUUAAGUUUGAAAGAUGCAAUUGCAUCACUCAAAGAUGAUCCCGCGUUGUAUUAGCUAGUUGGUGAGGUAAAGGCUCACCAAGGCGAUGAUACAUAGCCGACCUGAGAGGGUGAUCGGCCACAUUGGGACUGAGACACGGCCCAAACUCCUACGGGAGGCAGCAGUAGGGAAUCUUCGGCAAUGGACGAAAGUCUGACCGAGCAACGCCGCGUGAGUGAAGAAGGUUUUCGGAUCGUAAAACUCUGUUGGUAGAGAAGAACGUUGGUGAGAGUGGAAAGCUCAUCAAGUGACGGUAACUACCCAGAAAGGGACGGCUAACUACGUG